AUACGGAGGGUGCGAGCGUUAAUCGGAAUUACUGGGCGUAAAGCGUACGUAGGCGGUUUGCUAAGUCAGAUGUGAAAGCCCCGGGCAUAACCUGGGAACUGCAUUUGAUACUGGCAGACUAGAGUAUGAUAGAGGGGGGUAGAAUUCCUGGUGUAGCGGUGAAAUGCGUAGAUAUCAGGAGGAAUACCAGUGGCGAAGGCGGCCCCCUGGAUCAAUACUGACGCUGAGGUACGAAAGCGUGGGGAGCGAACAGGAUUAGAAACCCUAGUAGUCC
rnacentral:rRNA from 1 species